rnacentral:rRNA from 1 species
UACGAAGGGGGCAAGCGUUGUUCGGAAUUACUGGGCGUAAAGCGUGCGCAGGCGGUCUAUUAAGACAGGUGUGAAAUCCCCGGGCUUAACCUGGGAACUGCGCUUGUAACUGAUAGGCUGGAGUGUGGCAGAGGGGGGUGGAAUUCCACGUGUAGCAGUGAAAUGCGUAGAGAUGUGGAGGAACACCGAUGGCGAAGGCAGCCCCCUGGGCUAACACUGACGCUCAUGCACGAAAGCGUGGGGAGCAAAUAGG